rfam:Candidate division Hyd24-12 bacterium Vib_1 contig128, whole genome shotgun sequence.
UCCUUGACUUGCCGCAAGGCGCAUUCCUAUCUAUUCCCCGUGCGGGUGCAGGAAGGCGGUGAGAAUCCGCCGCGGUGGCGCCACUGUGACCGGGGACCCGAACCCAUUCAGUGCCACUGCCCGAAAGGGUGGGAAGGCAGGGGGAGGGGAUGAUCCGGAAGUCAGGAUACUGCGCCGCGUGAAGCGAGGACG